UUUUGUAUGAGCAUUCUGAUACCGGGGAAGGGGCCACCUUGUGGGGCCCAGGGGAGCUAUUUUUUCCUUACGGAUGGAGCUAUUUUUCAUUACGUAAGGACGAGGGAAUUAACAUUGGGAGGGAAUUAUUUAGGAAAACAGGUCCAAUUUAACUUCAAAUUUAAGAGAAAAAUUAUUUAAGGAAAGGAGGCUGAUUUGGGAAGGAAUUAUGAAAGAUUUAUUCAGGAAAAUUGUUGUUUUGAAUUUAAAUUUGGGAGAGAAUUAGGAAAUAUCUAUUUAGGGAAAGAGGGAUGAUAUAGUAAAGGUUUUAAUUGUGUUUAUUAUGUGUUAGGGCUAUUUGAGAAGGAGUUUGAUAGGUACUACUUGAGUAUUUCAAGUGAUUCCUAUCGGAUCUAAGCCAAAUCGCCACAAAUCCGCUGUUUUCUAUGAGAAAACAGCCACCAAACACGAAAAGAGUGGAAAAAUCUGAGAGAACUCGUAGGGAAAAUAGGAAAAACAAUAGCAAACGAUUGAAUUUCACUAGUCGAUGCAAAAGACAAGAAAGAUACAAGUUUCCUUCGAUUCGAGAGGACGGAAUAACUCUCCAAAUCUCUAGCCGUAGCCUAGAGCCCAAGAACACAAACCCUAGAUCUCCCAACCAAUUUCAAAUCCAAGAUAAUCCCCCCUUUUCCUCCUCACCUCCUAAUUAACCAUAAAGGAGUUUUACAAAAUGUCUAAACAGCCCCUCGCAUUCAAAAUUUCCCUCCCAAAACUCCUCCUUGGCCCCCGUCGGAUGAGCUCGGUUCCGCCCGCUGUUCCGCCCGCUCUGUGGGUUUCUGCCUCGAGUAGGUGUGGACCGGUCUGGUUUGGACCGGUCCAGCAAGCUCAAGUGCCGGCCUAACAGAGUUUUAGGUAAAAGGGUUAUAAUCUUAUGUAUGCUUGUGUUUGCUGAAAUUAGGAUUUUUUAAGUUGUGAGGGCUCUAGCCGGCAACUAGGGAUUUGGGAGAGCUGGAUCUUUCUCUCCAAUUGAAGAUAUAACUAUAUCUUGCUAUUUUCUUUCAUAUAUCUUGCAAUAAAAAGAUUUGUGGUGUUUCUUUUUCCCAAUUUUUUUUUUGUUGUUCGCUGAUUUGGUUGAAAUUGCAUCUAAUUUCUAUCAAAUUGGUAUCAGAGCCUAGAUCCGGGUACUUAUGGCAGGAAGAAUGGUAGAUGUGUUGGAAGGGAAGAUCGGACAAUUGAAAUCUGAUUAAAAAAAAAAUUUAAAACUCAAAUUUCAGCCAUCCAUGAGAAGUUCGAUGGGAAGUUUGCCAUCUUGGUGGAGAUGUUGAGGAAGCUUUGGAGAUGCAAUCUAAGGCUUCGUUUGGGACAGCUUUUUUAUUGCUUUUUAAAAUGGAGUUGUAGUACAAAUUUUUUAAUUUUUGUACUAAAACUCCGUUUUCAGAAGCAAUAAAAAAGCCGUCCCAAACAAAGCCUAAAACUCCAUUGAAGGUUCCGAUUUCUAGACCUAACCAAGAUUUGACCAGGAUUUCCUUGGCCAAUUCUAAGAGAAAUAAGAUGAACGGAAGGAAUUCGACAAUGUGAGUUUCUUUCAUCAAGAGUCACCUCCUAGGGCUCUGAUAAGGGGUGGAUCAGGUUUUUUGGAUGUGGGGACAAUAAUGAGGGAAUUUUGUGAUAGAGGUGGUGGAGUGGUCGUCCACUAUGAGAGGCAUUUCGGGCAAGAGGAUCGGAUGACUGGAUAUGGAGGGGGUCGAGCUGAGCCAUAGGGAUCAAAUCAUGCAAGUAGGGUGGAAGAAAGGUGGGAUUCUCACUCUCGAUACACAGGGGGAAUCAUUGGAGGGAGAGGAAGUUGGAGUGGAGAUGCUAGGGUAAGGAAGUUAGGAUGCUAAUAUUUGAAGGGGAUGAUGCCUAUGAGUGGGUGUACUGGGUGGAGACGAUGAAUGUGUUGAAUGAGAAGGAGAAGCUUACGGCCACAUGGCAAUGUAUUGAAGGGAAAGCCCUAGCUUGGUUCUAGUGGAUGAUAUCAUGGCCAAUAAUUAAGCAGCUUAAGAAGGACAAUUUCAAUUGGGGGAAAGCGACAAUAUAAGCAGCAGAAGAAAGCCAUGACCAGCAUCCCAUCCUUCCACCUUGAGGACAAUGUGCGGGGGGAGGGGAGUAUUGAUAUGCCAUGGGGGAAAAGGCCACCUUGUGGGGCCCAGGACAACUAUUAUUCAUUAUGUAAGGAGUUCUCAAUGGGGAGUUGUUUAGGAAAGUUUGAAUUAAAAUUGGGAAGGAAUUAUUUAGGAAAAGAGAUCCAAUUUGAGUUUAAGGAAAGGAGACUAAUUUGGGAAUGAAUUAAGAAAGAUUUAUUUAGGGAAAGAUAGCUGAUUUGAAUUUAAAUUUGAGAGAGAAUUAUGAAAGAUUUAUUUAGAGAAAAAUGAUAUUUUAGGAAAGGUUUUAAUUGUGUUUAUUGUGUGUAAGGGCUAUUUAAGGAGUUUUGUCUAGGGUUAUUAUCUUAUGUAUGCUUGUGUUUGCUGAAAUUAGGAUUUUUUAGGUUGUGAGGGUUCUAGCCGACAGCUAUAGAUUUGGGAGAACUGAAUCUUACUCUCCAAUUGAAGAUCCAAUUGUAUCUUGCUAUUUUUUUCAUAUAUCUUGCAAUGAGAUAUGUGGCGUGUUCUUCUUCCCAAUUUCUUAUUGUUGUUCGCUGAUUUGAUUGAAAUCGCAUAUACUUCCUAUCACAUUCCCAAAAUAUACUUAUGAACUAUUUCUGGAAGAGAUGAUGUGUAGGGAGCCAACAUUAUUUGAGUUAACGGCAUACUUUUACGGAUCAAAGAUGAGUGAUGCAUUGUGGGUGGAAUUAAGAUCUGCCAGAUAACAUAACAAUUACAGACGAUUGAGAGAAGUUAAAUCGAGUUAGGGCUCUGUAGUAGAAAGUUCUUCACAGCCAUCAUACAUCGAGCUAUUUUUUUUUUCCAUCACGAGCUCUGCGUAAAUCAUACAUCGAGCUAUGAAUGUGAGUUGCUGGGGGGAGCAAAACAAGACAUAUGUAUGGUGUUGGCUCAAUGAUGGUGUAUUAAAUACACCGUCAAUUUAUAGUUCUAGCUAAAUGUAAUCACAUAUGGAUGGUCAUAUACUAAUGAUUAUAUAGAGUAAAAUAGUUGCCUUUUAUGCAGAUCUCGAGAUCUCAAUGCAAGCUCAUAAGACAGCAAUGGGGGCUAAAUAUCAAUGUAUGUUAGUGGAGAUGUACUAUCUUUAUGUUCGAGAUGAGAGUAGUGAGUAGGGGUGUCAAUAUUUAACCCAAUAUGAACAUGACCUAAAAAUUUUUGGGUUCAGGUCAACUUGUUUUGCAAACAGGUCGGUUUGGUUUUAUUUUCUAACCCGUUUUUAAUUUUGAGUCGGGUUUGAGUCAAACUGAAAAUCUGAAAUCAACCCAAAAGUGACUUGGGUCACCCCUCGCCUGUAGCUAUCCAACACUCGCGCCUGCAGCCAUCCCCCUCACUCACAUCGGUGCCCCCACCCGCGCCAACGCCCACAUCCGCGCCCGCGAUAGCCCGCACACGCUUGUCGCCUCGCCUACUGGCCCCGCUCUCGCACCUUCGCCCACAGGCGCUCGUGCCCUCACCCGGUCGUGCCUGGUUGCAUUGCGGGUUAGUGGGUCGGGUUGGGUCAACUCAGGUUAGAGGUGGGCCUGCUCCAGAUUUGGAUUUCUGCCCCAUUUGUAAUUGAAGGCGGGUUAGUUUUAGAUUGGACCCGACCCUAAAAAUGGGAGGGACCGAGGGAGAUUGAAUAAUAAACCUGCUAUAUAUUUUCAUUUGAAGUUUUGAUUCACUCUUUCUAUUUAUGACUAUUUGUAACUGUUUAUGUAUAAACACAUUUCUUA